GUGAAUAUAGUUUAACAUAAAACAUUAGAUUGUGAUUCUGAUAAUAGAGGUUAAAUUCCUCUUAUCCACC
rnacentral:tRNA from 1 species